GCUUACGGCCAUACCAACCUGGCUAUGCCCGAUCUCGUCUGAUCUCGGAACCUAAGCACGUUUGGGCCUGGUUAGUACUUGGAUGGGAGACCGCCUGGGAAUACCAGGUGCUGUAAGCU
rnacentral:rRNA from 1 species